GCUUUCAUGGUGUAAUUGGAAAGCACAUUUGGCUGGCAAUCGGAACUGUCCGGAUUUUGAAUCCCGGCGAAGGCA
rnacentral:tRNA from 1 species